ACGCAACGCGCAGAACCUACCUGGGCUGACAUCCCGAUCGCACUUUCUGGAAACAGAGAGGUCAGUUCGGCUGGAUCGGUGACAGGUGCUGCAUGGCUGUCGUCAGCUCGUGUCGUGAGAUGUUGGGUUAAGUCCCGCAACGAGCGCAACCCUCGUCCUUAGUUGCCAGCAUUAAGUUGGGCACUCUAAGGAGACUGCCGGUGUUAAACCGGAGGAAGGCGGGGAUGACGUCAAGUCCUCAUGGCCCUUAUGUCCAGGGCUACACACGUGCUACAAUGGCCGGUACAAAGGGUAGCAAGACCGCGAGGUGGAGCCAAUCCCAAAAAGCCGGUCUCAGUUCGGAUUGGAGUCUGCAACUCGACUCCAUGAAGUUGGAAUCGCUAGUAAUCGUGGAUCAGCAUGCCACGGUGAAUACGUUCCCGGGCCUU
rnacentral:rRNA from 1 species